GUCGGGUGCAGUGGCGCACACCUGAAAUCCCAGCACUUGGGAGGCUGAAACAGGGUGAUUGAGAGUUCAAAACCAGCAUAGCAAUGGCCAGAAGCUGAGCAACUCAGUGAGACCCUGUCUCUA
rnacentral:sRNA from 1 species